rnacentral:rRNA from 1 species
GGUUAAGCGACCAAGCGUACACGGUGGAUGCCCUGGCAGUCAGAGGCGAUGAAGGACGUGCUAAUCUGCGAAAAGCGCCGGUAAGGUGAUAUGAACCGUUAUAACCGGCGAUGUCCGAAUGGGGAAACCCAGUGUGACUCGUCACACUAUCAUUAACUGAAUCCAUAGGUUAAUGAGGCGAACCGGGGGAACUGAAACAUCUAAGUACCCCGAGGAAAAGAAAUCAACCGAGAUUCCCCCAGUAGCGGCGAGCGAACGGGGAGGAGCCCAGAGCCUGAAUCAGCAUGUGUGUUAGUGGAAGCGUCUGGAAAGGCGCGCGAUACAGGGUGAGAGCCCCGUACACAAAAGCGCACAUGCUGUGAGCUCGAUGAGUAGGGCGGGACACGUGGUAUCCUGUCUGAAUAUGGGGGGACCAUCCUCCAAGGCUAAAUACUCCUGACUGACCGAUAGUGAACCAGUACCGUGAGGGAAAGGCGAAAAGAACCCCGGCGAGGGGAGUGAAACAGAACCUGAAACCGUGUACGUACAAGCAGUGGGAGCCUCUCUUUAUGGGGGGUGACUGCGUACCUUUUGUAUAAUGGGUCAGCGACUUAUAUUCUGUAGCAAGGUUAACCGCAUAGGGGAGCCGAAGGGAAACCGAGUCUUAAUUGGGCGUUAAGUUGCAGGGUAUAGACCCGAAACCCGGUGAUCUAGCCAUGGGCAGGUUGAAGGUUGGGUAACACUAACUGGAGGACCGAACCGACUAAUGUUGAAAAAUUAGCGGAUGACCUGUGGCUGGGGGUGAAAGGCCAAUCAAACCGGGAGAUAGCUGGUUCUCCCCGAAAGCUAUUUAGGUAGCGCCUCGUGAAUUCAUCUCCGGGGGUAGAGCACUGUUUCGGCUAGGGGGCCAUCCCGGCUUACCAACCCGAUGCAAACUGCGAAUACCGGAGAAUGUUAUCACGGGAGACACACGGCGGGUGCUAACGUCCGUCGUGAAGAGGGAAACAACCCAGACCGCCAGCUAAGGUCCCAAAGUCAUGGUUAAGUGGGAAACGAUGUGGGAAGGCCCAGACAGCCAGGAUGUUGGCUUAGAAGCAGCCAUCAUUUAAAGAAAGCGUAAUAGCUCACUGGUCGAGUCGGCCUGCGCGGAAGAUGUAACGGGGCUAAACCAUGCACCGAAGCUGCGGCAGCGACACUUUAGUGUUGUUGGGUAGGGGAGCGUUCUGUAAGCCGUUGAAGGUGUCCUGUGAGGGGUGCUGGAGGUAUCAGAAGUGCGAAUGCUGACAUAAGUAACGAUAAAGCGGGUGAAAAGCCCGCUCGCCGGAAGACCAAGGGUUCCUGUCCAACGUUAAUCGGGGCAGGGUGAGUCGACCCCUAAGGCGAGGCCGAAAGGCGUAGUCGAUGGGAAACGGGUUAAUAUUCCCGUACUUGGUGUUACUGCGAAGGGGGGACGGAGAAGGCUAUGUUGGCCGGGCGACGGUUGUCCCGGUUUAAGCGUGUAGGCUGGUUUUCCAGGCAAAUCCGGAAAAUCAAGGCUGAGGCGUGAUGACGAGGCACUACGGUGCUGAAGCAACAAAUGCCCUGCUUCCAGGAAAAGCCUCUAAGCAUCAGGUAACAUCAAAUCGUACCCCAAACCGACACAGGUGGUCAGGUAGAGAAUACCAAGGCGCUUGAGAGAACUCGGGUGAAGGAACUAGGCAAAAUGGUGCCGUAACUUCGGGAGAAGGCACGCUGACACGUAGGUGAAGUGAUUUACUCAUGGAGCUGAAGUCAGUCGAAGAUACCAGCUGGCUGCAACUGUUUAUUAAAAACACAGCACUGUGCAAACACGAAAGUGGACGUAUACGGUGUGACGCCUGCCCGGUGCCGGAAGGUUAAUUGAUGGGGUCAGCGCAAGCGAAGCUCCUGAUCGAAGCCCCGGUAAACGGCGGCCGUAACUAUAACGGUCCUAAGGUAGCGAAAUUCCUUGUCGGGUAAGUUCCGACCUGCACGAAUGGCGUAAUGAUGGCCAGGCUGUCUCCACCCGAGACUCAGUGAAAUUGAACUCGCUGUGAAGAUGCAGUGUACCCGCGGCAAGACGGAAAGACCCCGUGAACCUUUACUAUAGCUUGACACUGAACAUUGAGCCUUGAUGUGUAGGAUAGGUGGGAGGCUUUGAAGCGUGGACGCCAGUCUGCGUGGAGCCGACCUUGAAAUACCACCCUUUAAUGUUUGAUGUUCUAACGUGGACCCGUAAUCCGGGUUGCGGACAGUGUCUGGUGGGUAGUUUGACUGGGGCGGUCUCCUCCUAAAGAGUAACGGAGGAGCACGAAGGUUGGCUAAUCCUGGUCGGACAUCAGGAGGUUAGUGCAAUGGCAUAAGCCAGCUUGACUGCGAGCGUGACGGCGCGAGCAGGUGCGAAAGCAGGUCAUAGUGAUCCGGUGGUUCUGAAUGGAAGGGCCAUCGCUCAACGGAUAAAAGGUACUCCGGGGAUAACAGGCUGAUACCGCCCAAGAGUUCAUAUCGACGGCGGUGUUUGGCACCUCGAUGUCGGCUCAUCACAUCCUGGGGCUGAAGUAGGUCCCAAGGGUAUGGCUGUUCGCCAUUUAAAGUGGUACGCGAGCUGGGUUUAGAACGUCGUGAGACAGUUCGGUCCCUAUCUGCCGUGGGCGCUGGAAGACUGAGGGGGGCUGCUCCUAGUACGAGAGGACCGGAGUGGACGCAUCACUGGUGUUCGGGUUGUCAUGCCAAUGGCACUGCCCGGUAGCUAAAUGCGGAAAAGAUAAGUGCUGAAAGCAUCUAAGCACGAAACUUGCCCCGAGAUGAGUCUUCCCUGAGACCUUGAGUCUCCUGAAGGAACGUUAAAGACGAUGACGUUGAUAGGCCGGGUGUGUAAGCGCAGCGAUGCGUUGAGCUAACCGGUACUAAUGAACCGUGAGGCUUAACCUU